rnacentral:lncRNA from 1 species
AUGAUGAGCAGGCGCUCUCCCACAGAGAACACCCACAUGAACAGGUUUCUCCUCUGCGAGGCGGACCCCCUGCCAACGGAGGGAUACCCAGUCCUAAGUCGCCACAGCUCCCCCUUAAAAAAAAUACUUUCGGACACCACUACAGCUCCUCAGUGGAGCGACAGGGAGGAGCCAGAGGAGUAGGGCAGGAGUUCUGAUUCAACCCCAGUCUUAACCACAGAUUCCUGUCAGUUUGCAGAUGAAUAUCAGGAUGAUGUGGAGCAAAGCAUUCUGGGUUUCAGACUGUUUUCCGUUUGAGGCCUUAACCUGAGAGGAAGCAUCAGGAUCACCACAGUCCUGGAAAACCUUCAGACCUCUCCUCAGUGGCAGGAGCAAACACAGAAAUCAUGGAGAACCUCUCCACAUUCAUGAAGAUCUGCAUAUGAAUGUGAUGAGAUCCCAUGGUGAACAAAGCUCUCACUUGAACCCGUCUGCGGAGAGAAGGCAUCAAAGUGGAGGCGCUCGCCGGAUCACGGCGUUUUGGAUUUGCUUUUGUUUUUCUAAAAGCCCUGUGAUGCAUAAAUCAUUUCCAGGCAAAUCUGAUUUGUAAAGCCCUCACAGAGGACGCUCAUCAGAGAGUGUGAAUGUGGGAAGAUGUCUGACUGCUGCAUUCAGGCUCUCAGCAAAACGCAGGUCCACCUGUGUCCCUGACGGGGAUCUGCUGUCAGGAAGCCCAUCCGCUCCGGAGUUCAUUUCUGCUGCAGUUUCUAAUCAAAAACAAAACUAGAAUCCAAUAGAAACACUCAGUUCUGACAACAGCACUGUUUGCUGUUUUACAACACUUGUUAGGAACAGGCGCCUCAAACCUCUCACCAAAUUAGAAUCCAUUCAAUAUAGAAAGAACAGAUUAGAAUAGAAUAAACUAUUCCCUUCACAUGGUUAUUCCGGAAGUUGACAGGUUUUUUCAUAUUAUUAUUAUUAUAAAUUUACUGAUAGACUAAUUAUGUUAUAGUUUCUGUAAAAUGUUGUGUAAAAAUAAGAACUAAGAGGCUUUUGUUUAAAAAGAAUCUAGAAAAGCCUGUUAUUGUGAAACUGAAGGUUUGAGUCCAGAGAACUCAAUCUCAUGUUCUAGAAACCAGUCUGAGAUGAUUCCAGCUUGAUGACAUGGAGCCUUAUCCUGCUGGAAGUAGCAUCAGAAGAUGGUCCACUGUGGUCAUGAAGGGAUGGACAUGGCCAGCAGCAAUACAAUAUAAUAGGUAG